rnacentral:lncRNA from 1 species
GUUGUCCUUAAUCCAUCAUCGCGUAAGCCAACUAACUUCCAUCAAUUCAAAUGAUCAUGGAUCUGAAAAGUUUAGCAUAACAUACUUUGAGUAUAAGGAAAUACUCAGUAAGAUACCAUGCUUGAACAUUUAUCAUGAUAAUACUACACCAAAGAAAGCAAUCAAACCCAUACUUCCAUAUUCCGACAUGCCGGUGCCCUUCGGACUUGUCCUAAGGCAUAGAUAUAUCUAACAUUUGUGGAUUUCUCCACCAUAAUCAUAUCAUUUGUGGAUUUCUCCACCAUUAACAUACUUUGAUUUUUCAUGCAUA